GCAACUUGUCCCUUGUCAGUACUGGCAACCACUCACUGAGUGGUUGCCGGUACUGAUGAGGGACGGGUUGUGGUGUCCGAGAGCGUUGUGCCGAAGUGGACUGUCUUUGCUUUGCUUGGAUGGGCUUUGAUUGUAUAUUAUAUUGAUAAAGCAAAGUGUACUUAGUUAGUUGAUCAGAUCCCUAUACCAAGACUAAUGAUACAAGAAUUGCCUAAAUAUGAGGUAAUACCAGAAACAUUAGGAAAUUCUGGGCUAGUAAGAACUCUCUUAAAUGAACAGAGAAAGAAACUGGCAAAUAAGAGAUACCCUACAGUUUUUGAUUUAUUGAGAAAUAAUAAGGACUCUAGAAAGGAAGAAAAUAAAAGUGAUGUCUAUCAAAUUCCUUUAGUCAACCUGGAUACCAGAAACCAAGAAAUCUACAUAGGAGCAAUGUGUAGAAACUUAUCAGGUGCGCAACUAAGUUUCCGGG
rnacentral:lncRNA from 1 species